rnacentral:rRNA from 1 species
GGAAGGAUCAUUACCGAGUGCGGGCCCUCGCGGCCCAACCUCCCACCCUUGUCUCUAUACACCUGUUGCUUUGGCGGGCCCACCGGGGCCACCUGGUCGCCGGGGGACGUCGUCUCCGGGCCCGCGCCCGCCGAAGCGCUCUGUGAACCCUGAUGAAGAUGGGCUGUCUGAGUAUAUGAAAAUUGUCAAAACUUUCAACAAUGGAUCUCUUGGUUCCGGCAUCGAUGAAGAACGCAGCGAAAUGCGAUAAGUAAUGUGAAUUGCAGAAUUCCGUGAAUCAUCGAAUCUUUGAACGCACAUUGCGCCCCCUGGCAUUCCGGGGGGCAUGCCUGUCCGAGCGUCAUUUCUGCCCUCAAGCACGGCUUGUGUGUUGGGUGCGGUCCCCCCGGGGCUGCCCGAAAGGCAGCGGCGACGUCCGUCUGGUCCUCGAGCGUAUGGGGCUCUGUCACUCGCUCGGGACGGACCUGCGGGGGUUGGUCACCACCAUAUUUUACCACGGUUGACCUCGGAUCAGGUAGG